AGGUUUCCAAUAUUGAUUGUUCGUAAUUAUUUCCCAUUUUUAAACUGUCAAAAUGUCAUGUUGUCGUUAUAUACAUGUGCAUUGAACGAUUUGGUACGAACAAUAAGAAAAAAAUGUUGAUGCAAGUGUCGCCAAGCUCCUUGACACCAGUAGCUGUUGCUAAUAGUGUAGUGCGAAAGAAAAAUAUUUCUUUUUUGAAAAAAUGUAGCUACUCUCAAAAAGAACUAAUAAUAAAAUAACACGAGGAUAACCAAAAAUUGACAUUAAAGGAAUAAAAGAAAUCAGUAAUUUACUCUUACAAUCCACCAAAGCUUAUAAAAGUAAAGACACCAAAUAAUACUUACUGUUAGAGAAACAGGUAUGUGUAAUUGUCAAGCAUCUAGAGAUGCAUUUGAGUAUGCAGCAUCAUCAUGGUUUGGAUACUGUUGUACAAAUUCUGGGUUGUAUUUUUUUGAACACUCAAAUUACAGAGGAGGAGAUAAAAAGUUGUCAUAUGUCAAUGUAACAUAUUUUACGUGCAUCCUAUUUAUAACAGAGGAUAAAUGCUAUCAGACGACUGAUUAAAUUUCAAUUGGAGUCUUUACUUACAAGACCGUAACAGGAGACGGUACUUAUGAAUAUGAUUCUUGCGGCAAGUACGAAAAAUAUGUUUUAUUAAUAUGAUGUGUUAAAUGCUGAAUGUUUCAUUAAUUUAAUGUGUGAUGCUCAUUGUACAAGUCGCACGGAACACGGUUACAGCGAAAUUUGUUCAGGAUUGUAACUGCGAUGGUAAUGUCAAACACUGCGAUUUUUUUCGUAGAUGUCGCUUCGGAGGAUACAGUUGCAGUGGCUGUUUGAAUUCAAAAUAUGAGAAUACUUGCAAGCUUUGCAUACAGACUUUUAGUAAACGAUAACUAAAUACAUAAUAAUGCA